rnacentral:rRNA from 1 species
UACGUAGGGGGCAAGCGUUGUCCGGAAUCAUUGGGCGUAAAGAGCGUGUAGGCGGUCCGGUAAGUCGGCUGUGAAAGUCCAGGGCUCAACCCUGGGAUGCCGGUCGAUACUGGCGGACUAGAGUCCGGAAGAGGCGAGUGGAAUUCCCGGUGUAGCGGUGAAAUUCGUAGAUAUCAGGAGGAACACCAGUGGCGAAGGCGGCUUCCUGGACACCAACUGACGCUGAGACGCGAAAGCGUGGGGAGCAAACAGG